ensembl:lncRNA
AUCUCACUGGAGAUCCCUGCCUCUCUGAGGCCUUCCAAGGCAUAACUCAGCUACUGCUCCUGUGUGCAUCUCUCAGGACCUCAAUACUCCACCUUCCCUCAGCUGAAGUAGAAUUGGUGACCUUAGCAGUGAAGCUGACAGUUUUUGCUCCAGCUCUGGUACUGAUUCAGGCUUGUUGCCUGUCUACCAUGCCCGUGGUGCACACCUAUUAGAAAUACAUCACUUGCUGGCAUCAAAACAGAAAGGGAAAAGUUUACUCUUCUCCCCACCUUAAUCAAGUGCUUUGUGCUUCUGAAUUUGAUCUGAUCUUACAGAUGGUUCUGCAGCUCGUGCUCUCUCAUUGCUGGAUGCACAGCUUUAUUACAGCUGCUCUCCAGGGAUGUGUGGAUAUAUUCCUGAAGUGUGAAGACUGUGGCUCUGAGAAUUCAUGGGCCACGCAGGCUUCUAAUGAGUCGUAGACAAAGCAUUGGCCAGCCCUGAUCCAACGUGAAGCUCCUGCCAGCAGUUCUCCAGCACUCCAAUGGUCCGUGCAGCAUCUGAGACAGCGCAGUCAGAAAGGAUAUGGACCUCAAAAACCUGGGUCUUCCAACAGCAGGUGAAAAAGCAUCGUCUCUUUCUCUCAUCUCCUGAAGAACCCCUAAGACUCACGCAAUUUUCCAGCCUCUGAGCCAGACGUAAGACUUGUUUGAUUGUUUCUGUGGCAAACUAAGGAAUGAAUGAAUAUAAUCUCUACCCAACAUGCGCAAAUCCCAAAGAUAGUGGAGUUUAAAUGGUCCCAAUGUAAAUGUCUGUAUCUUCAGGGAUGACUGCAGAAGUGACACAGAAAGGCUUUGAGGCAACAACUGUGCACUUGUUUGGUUUUUGGCCAGCGGCUGUCACAGUGAGUCCUUUUUCCACGCUAAAACUUUGUUAUAUUCUACUCUAACAAGUAGUAAAAACAACAGCAGAAGUAGUGGGAAUCUGCAGCUGAAGGGAAACUUAUUCCAGAGCAGGAUUUAGCAGGCUGUGCUUCCCUCCACCCAAUGUGAGCUGGAACAGAAGCACGCUGUAGCUCACCUAAGUGGCCUCUGUCAGUUCCAAUAACUCACUUAACAGUCGUGCUAAGAAAGCUGCACCCUGAAUCUCAGCACUGCCAAAUGUUUGCCCUUUUCCGAAUCUCAGAAGCAAUUCUGUGCUCAUUGCAGGAUGAAUCUCUACUGGAAAACAUUACUCUCACUUAGGAGACCUCAGAGUGAAUGCAGUGAUUUGCUCAGCGCACGCUGCUCUCCAUUUACCUCUUACUGCCCCUUCUCCACCUUACCCCCUCCGUUACUCCACUCUCCCCCUUGGCUGCAGCUCUUUGCAUUGGCUUUAUUUCAUGCAGCACCCUGCAGAGCAGAGCUGUUCUCACUGCCUCUUGUUCUUACAUCCAAGGAAACCCAAAGACGGAUGCUUCCUUACCCUGGAGCCCCCCAGGUGCUAUCUCCGUAGCACAUAACUCUCACCAACACGGCUUGCAUUUGCAGGAUACAACAUUGAAAUUCCACUGACAAUAUCAGGAACACAAAAAACAAGUGCUGGAAUUGCUGGUGCUUUAUAGGCACUUCCUGACAGGAGCUUAUCGCCGUCUGUACAACGUGUUGUUAUCCCCGUAAAUGCUGCAUGUUUGUAUAUUAUGGGUAAUGAAAUGCAGUCCUAACAGCUCGUAAGAUACAGGAGGACUGUCAGAGCUCCUCGCAGUGUCUGGAUAAUUCAAUGUGCAGUGUUAACAAGAAGAAAAAUGUGGGGAAGAAAUGAUUAUUAGUGCAAGAAAAACAAACUGGGUGGAACUCCAUGACCAGAAGGAACUUUAUAUGACUUUCUAGCAUUCAGGCCUCAAUUAUCAGAGACACAACUCAGACCACAAACAAUAUUUCUCUGUGGCAAAGCGAGGCUGCUUUAUUACUGGCCUCAGAAAGAGUGAAUGUUUUGAUAAUGGAGUUAAAGGAAAACCAGAGCUGCACAAUUCAAGAGCAGCCUUUUCUGAUCAAGACGUGAGUGCUGUGCUAGGUGAGAAGUAAAUCAAUAAUACAGCCCCCAGGAAGGCUCUAUUUAUGAAAAAUCCUGUAAAUUGAUGCUUAUGUGCUGCUAGCAAAGAAUAAUAUUUUCUUUAAGGGGCCCACAUCUCUGGAGAUAAACAGAGGCUGGAAAGAAGGCAAGGUAUAUUUAUAUACUGACUGUGUAAACACGCAUACUGUGGCUGCAUGUGUCAAAUUUAAAACAUGAAAGACAGACAGGGAUGCAGGGAAGGCAGCACUGCUGUCGCCUG